CUCUCUCUCCAAGACACCAUUCUUCAUUUUCUGACCAGACAAGUUCCUGUUUAGCUUGUGAGAUUAGACACACGCACAGCUCAGGUGCCAAAAAGUUAGGUGUUGCAAUACCAACCUUUGCAACAUGGAAGUCCCUUGGAGAAUGUGGUCUCAAACUAUGGUCGGUGUUGUGUAGAAGCAUGUCAAACUGUCUGGAGAGGAUCAGGAAUGCAAGUACCAAACUCAGGACAGACUGUUGCAAACGAGGACACAACCUUAUAUACUAUACUUAAAUGUCAUCAAAUUAGCCUCAAGUGUGAACUCUUCAAGCACCAUAACAGCCUUAGCAUGGAGUCACAGAUGGUCCCUUUGGGUACUCCAGUGUACCUUGUCAUCAAGCUAUACACUAAGCAGAGGUUUUGUCCAACUGUCUACAAUGAAAUCCAGGUCUACUUCUUGAAUUGUUGGUUAAUUAGAACCCUUUAAGGCAUACUAAUUUAAAUAUUUCUCUCCAUUACCACAUUGCUUUCUAUUUAUCAAGAUAUGUCUAAUUUUAU